rnacentral:tRNA from 2 species
GAGAUAUUAGUAAAAAUAUUACAAAGCCUUGUCAAGGCUUAAUUAUAAGUGAGAAUCUUAUAUAUCUU